rnacentral:rRNA from 1 species
CCUACGGGAGGCAGCAGUGAGGAAUAUUGGUCAAUGGGCGCGAGCCUGAACCAGCCAAGUAGCGUGAAGGAUGACUGCCCUACGGGUUGUACACUUCUUUUAUAAAGGAAUAAAGUGAGGCACGUGUGCCUUUUUGUAUGUACUUUAUGAAUAAGGAACGGCUAACUCCGUAACAUCAGCCGCGGUAAUAGGGAGGAUCAGACCGUUAUCCGGUUUUAUUGGGUUAAAGGGAGCGUAGGUGGGUUGUUAAGUCAGUUGUGAAAGUUUGCGGCUCAACCGUAAAAUUGCAAUUGAUACUGGCAGUCUUGAGUACAGUUGAGGUAGGCGGAAUUCGUGGUGUAGCGGUGAAAUGCUUAGAUAUCACGAAGAACUCCGAUUGCGAAGGCAGCUUACUAAACUGCCACUGACAUUGAUGCUCGAAAGUGUGGGUAUCAAACAGGAUUAGAUACCCGGGUAGUC